UACGGAGGGAGCUAGCGUUGUUCGGAAUUACUGGGCGUAAAGCGCACGUAGGCGGAUUGUUAAGUCGGUGGUGAAAUCCCGGGGCUCAACCCCGGAACUGCCUUCGAUACUGGCAAUCUAGAGUUCUGGAGAGGUGAGUGGAAUUCCGUGUGUAGAGGUGAAAUUCGUAGAUAUUCGGAGGAACACCAGUGGCGAAGGCGGCUUACUGGCCAGACACUGACGCUGAGAUGCGAAAGCGUGGGGAGCAAACAGG
rnacentral:rRNA from 1 species